AACCCUCACUGUGUGUUAUAUGUGGUCACACGGGACCGCCGGUCUUAAGCCGGAGGAAGGUGGGAUGACGUUAAGUCAGCAUGGCCUUAUAUCCUGGGCUACACACACGCUACAAUGGCCAAACACGAAUAGGUUGCUAAGCCGCGAGGUGGAGCCAAUCCAUAAAGUUGGUCUCAGUUCAGAUUGUAGGCUGCAACCCGCCUGCAUGAAGAUGGAGUUGCUAGUAACCGCAGGUCAGCUAUACUGCGGUGAAUACGUUCCCGGGGCUU
rnacentral:rRNA from 1 species